GAUCCAGACUUUGAUCCUGGCUCAGGAUGAACGCUAGCUACAGGCUUAACACAUGCAAGUCGAGGGGCAGCAUGACGAUAGCUUGCUAUUGUCGAUGGCGACCGGCGCACGGGUGAGUAACGCGUAUCCAACCUUCCCGUUGCUAGGGGAUAACCUUGCGAAAGUAAGACUAAUACCCUAUGAUGUUCUUCGCAGGCAUCUAAAGAGAACCAAAGAUUUAUCGGCAACGGAUGGGGAUGCGUCUGAUUAGGUUGUUGGCGGGGUAACGGCCCACCAAGCCUACGAUCAGUAGGGGUUCUGAGAGGAAGGUCCCCCACACUGGAACUGAGACACGGUCCAAACUCCUACGGGAGGCAGCAGUGAGGAAUAUUGGUCAAUGGACGGAAGUCUGAACCAGCCAAGUAGCGUGCAGGAUGACGGCCCUAUGGGUUGUAAACUGCUUUUAUGUGGGAAUAAAGUGAGGGACGUGUCCCUUUUUGUAGGUGCCACAUGAAUAAGGACCGGCUAAUUCCGUGCCAGCAGCCGCGGUAAUACGGAAGGUCCGGGCGUUAUCCGGAUUUAUUGGGUUUAAAGGGAGCGUAGGCCGUCUUUUAAGCGUGUUGUGAAAUACUGUCGCUCAACGACAGAGGUGCAGCGCGAACUGGGAGACUUGAGUGCGCGGAAUGCAGGCGGAAUUCGUCGUGUAGCGGUGAAAUGCUUAGAUAUGACGAAGAACUCCGAUUGCGAAGGCAGCUUGCAGUAGCGUAACUGACGCUGAAGCUCGAAAGUGCGGGUAUCGAACAGGAUUAGAUACCCUGGUAGUCCGCACGGUAAACGAUGGAUGCUCGCUGUGUGCCCUUGGGUACGCGGCCAAGCGAAAGCGUUAAGCAUCCCACCUGGGGAGUACGCCGGCAACGGUG
rnacentral:rRNA from 2 species